rnacentral:rRNA from 1 species
GACGAACGCUGGCGGCGUGCUUAACACAUGCAAGUCGAGCGGAGCGGCGAACGGGUGAGUAACGCGUGAGUAACUGCCCCCCUCUCUGGGAUAACAGUUGGAAACGGCUGCUAAUACCGGAUAGUGGGGGAUGACUCGCGUCCUAUCCGCUUGUCGGUGGGGUAGUGGCCUACAAAGGCGACGACGGUUAGCCGGCCUGUGAGGGCGACCGGCCACAGAGUGCUGAGAUACGUCCCAAACUCCUACGGGAGGAAGCGGUGGGGAAUAUUGCAGAAUGGGGGAAGCCAUGAUGCAGCAUCGCCGCGUGCGGGAUGACGGCCUUCGGGUUGUAAACCGCUUUCAGCCAGGACGCGGUAGUUGCAGAAGAAGCACCGGCUAACUACGUGCCAGCAGCCGCGGUAAUAC